rnacentral:lncRNA from 14 species
CAACAAGAGAGAGCUGGGGAUCAUCAGUAGGAGUUGAAUUUUCAAAGGUGUAUGAAGUUAGCUGAGUCCACAUUUUAUGCAAGAGACAGUGAGCAGUACUGAAUGGCCCUUCUGGAUGUGUUGAAAAAGCAGCACACACCUGUACUUGGGACUCCUUCUGAGAUGGGUGGCAGAAACAGCCUUGAGGGCACAAGAACCCAAACUGAAGUUCUCAGACACCAGACAAAAGACCUCCACUCUUCCUCUCACCAUGUAUUAGUUACAGAAGUUGUGGUCUGAUUCUUCACUAUCAAGAUCCUUGAGUCCAUCCAGCAUCUCACAGAGCACAUGAGCAGCAACAGCAUUCAGUAAGAUUCCCACCAUACCCCAUUUCACAAGGGCACCGAUUGGCUC